AUUGAACGCUGGCGGCAGGCCUAACACAUGCAAGUCGAGCGAGCGGCGGACGGGUGAGUAAUGUAUGGGGAUCUGCCCUAUAGAGGGGGAUAACUACUGGCAACGGUAGCUAAUACCGCCUACUCUCGGAUGAACCCCUAUGGGAUUAGCUAGUAGGUGGGGUAAAGGCUCACCUAGGCGACGAUCUCUCGCUGGUCUGAGAGGAUGAUCAGCCACACUGGGACUGAGACACGGCCCAGACUCCUACGGGAGGCAGCAGUGGGGAAUAUUGCACAAUGGGCGCAAGCCUGAUGCAGCCAUGCCGCGUGUAUGAAGAAGGCCUUAGGGUUGUAAAGUACUUUCAGCGGGGAGGCGUUAACCGCAGAAGAAGCACCGGCUAACUCCGUGCCAGCAGCCGCGGUAAUUC
rnacentral:rRNA from 1 species